rnacentral:tRNA from 1 species
GCCUGGGUGGCUCAGUCAGUUAAGUGUCUGACUUCAGCUCAGGUCAUGAUCUCACAGUUUGUGAGUUCAAGUCCCACGUCAGGCU